rnacentral:lncRNA from 1 species
GAGGAUGACGGUGUUAUACGGCGUAGGGCUGUGGCCGCCAUUUUGUGUGGGAGAUAGAGGGGGAGCGGCAGGAGUUGGUGGAGCGAGUUGGACUGAGCUUUGCGGGGGGGGGGUGGGGGUCGAAGAGUGACGGCGGAGGAGCAGCGGGGUCGGCUCCUAGAGGCCCGUGUGUGUGUGUCUGUGCUUGUGAGCGAACGAGACGGACAGAAGUCGUUGAGACUUCUCCCCUGGAGCCUCUGUGCCGAGAAUCCGAUGUUGGGCUCGGCUACCUGGCUGAACGCAGCAGAUCAGCCCAUGAAAACUUCUAUUCCUAGCCAAAGGAAGGAGUCCAGCAAAAGGCAGCACCUACUCUUUCAGGCUUGGAAGCAAGAAAGGGGACAGGAGUUGGAGUGUGUGGAAUCUGAGAAGACAACUGAAAGGUGACAUUUAAGUU